GAUGAACGCUGGCGGCGUGCCUAAUACAUGCAAGUCGAACGAGGUGCUUUUGUAGCAAUACGAGAGUAUCCUAGUGGCGAACGGGUGAGUAACGCGUUGGUGACCUACCCCAAAGUGUGGAAUAACAGUCCGAAAGGAUUGCUAAUACCGCAUGUGGUUAUCGGGCUUAGAAACUGAUAACUAAAGGAGCAAUUCGCUUUGGGAGGGACCUGCGUCCCAUCAGCUAGUUGGUGAGGUAAUGGCUCACCAAGGCUACGACGGGUAGGGGACCUGAGAGGGUGACCCCCCACAAUGGAACUGAAACACGGUCCAUACACCUACGGGUGGCAGCAGUAGGGAAUAUUGCACAAUGGGCGAAAGCCUGAUGCAGCAACGCCGCGUGCACGAUGAAGGCCUUCGGGUCGUAAAGUGCUUUUCUGGGAGAUGAGAAAGGACAGUAUCCCAGGAAUAAGUCUCGGCUAACUACGUG
rnacentral:rRNA from 1 species